rnacentral:rRNA from 1 species
AUUGAACGCUGGCGGCAUGCUUUACACAUGCAAGUCGAACGGCAGCGCGGGCUUCGUCCUGGCGGCGAGUGGCGAACGGGUGAGUAAUACAUCGGAACGUGCCCAGUAGUGGGGGAUAGCUCGGCGAAAGCCGUAUUAAUACCGCAUACGACCUGAUGGUGAAAGCGGGGGAUCUUCGGACCUCGCGCUAUUGUAGCGGCCGAUGGCAGAUUAGCUAGUUGGUGGGUUAAAGGCCUACCAAGGCGACGAUCGGUAGCUGGUCUGAGAGGACGACCAGCCACACUGGGACUGAGCCACGGCCAAGACUCCUACGGGAGGCAGCAGUGGGGAAUUUUGGACAAUGGGCGAAAGCAUGAUCCAGCAAUGCCGCGUGUGAGAUGAAGGCCUUCGGGUUGUAAAGCACUUUUGGCGGGAACGAAAAGGACUGUGCCAAUACCACGGUUCGAUGACGGUACCCGCAGAAUAAGCACCGGCUAACUACGUG